rnacentral:piRNA from 1 species
GACCUGUGAGGGAGGCUGACUGGACA